rnacentral:lncRNA from 10 species
GCAGUUUCACUGUGUUGCCCAGGCUGGUCUCGAGCUCCUGAGGCAAUCCACCCACCUUGGCCUCCCAAAGUGCUAGGAUUAUAGGCAUGAGCCACCGUGCCUGGCCAAAACAUUUUUAUGAAGAAAACAAUGUUUGACCGGGUGUGGUGGGGCUCAUGCCUAUAGUCCCAAUGCUUUGGGAGGCCAAGGUGGGAGAAUGGCUGGAGCCCAGGAGUUCGAGACCAGCCUGGGCAACAGAGUGAAACCUCGUCUCUAUAAAAAUUUUAAAAGUUAGCUGGGUGUGGUGGUGUGCACCUGUAGUCCCAGCUACUUGGGAGGCUGAGGGAGGAGAUUGCUUGAGCCCAGGUUGAGGCUGCAGUGAGCUAUGAUUGUGCCACUGCGCUCCAGCCUGGGUGACAGUGAAACUCUGUCUCAUAAAAAAAAAAAAAAAAAAGCCUGGGCAUGGGGGCUCAGGCCUCUAAUCCCAGCACUUUGGGAGGCCGAGGUGAGCAGAUCACUUGAGGUCAGGAGGUCGAGACCAGCCUGACCAUCAUGGCAAAACCCCGUCUCUACUAAAAGUACAAAAAUCAGCUGGGCGUGGUGGCGUCCACCUGUACCAGCUACUCAGGAGGCGGAGGCAGGAGAAUCAGCCCAGAUUGCGCCACUGCACUCCAGCCCGGGCGACAGAGCGAGUUGCUGAGGCCCUCAUGCUGUGUCAUGGGAGAGGGUGAGGACAAAAUCUUCUUAAUCAACAAGCUUCACUCCAUCUACGAGAGGAAGGAGAGGGAGGAGAGGAGCAGGGUUGGGACAACCGAGGAGGCUGCGGCACCCCCUGCCCUGCUCACAGAUGAACAGGAUGCCUAGGGGGACGGCGAUGGGCCUCACGGGCCCGCCCAGCACCCUGAGACCACACUGUUGCCUCCCAGUGACCCUGCUGGGACACCAGGACAAGGAAGACAGUUUCGCCUCUCGAAAGCCGCAGCUGCGCCUAGGCUGGAGCUGGAAGGGUGGGUGAAUCCGGCUUGGGCAUCCCCAAUGAACUCUGCCCUGCCUGGGACUCUAUUUAUUCUGAUUAAAGGGGUUUUGCAAA